GUGCCAGCCGCCGCGGUAAUACGUAGGUGGCGAGCGUUAUCCGGAUUUACUGGGUGUAAAGGGCGUGUAGGCGGGUCUGCAAGUCGGGUGUGAAAUAUCCGGGCUUAACCCGGGGGGGUCAUCCGAAACUGCAGAUCUUGAGUACUGGAGAGGAUAGUGGAAUUCCUAGUGUAGCGGUAAAAUGCGUAGAUAUUAGGAGGAACACCAGUGGCGAAGGCGGCUAUCUGGACAGUAACUGACGCUGAGGCGCGAAAGCGUGGGGAGCAAACAGGAUUAGAAACCCUCGUAGUCC
rnacentral:rRNA from 1 species